rnacentral:rRNA from 1 species
CUUUUACAAUGAAGAGUUUGAUCCUGGCUCAGGAUGAACGCUAGCUACAGGCUUAACACAUGCAAGUCGAGGGGCAUCAGGAAGAAAGCUUGCUUUCUUUGCUGGCGACCGGCGCACGGGUGAGUAACACGUAUCCAACCUGCCGAUGACUCGGGGAUAGCCUUUCGAAAGAAAGAUUAAUACCCGAUGGUAUAUCUGAAAGGCAUCUUUCAGCUAUUAAAGAAUUUCGGUCAUUGAUGGGGAUGCGUUCCAUUAGGUUGUUGGCGGGGUAACGGCCCACCAAGCCAUCGAUGGAUAGGGGUUCUGAGAGGAAGGUCCCCCACAUUGGAACUGAGACACGGUCCAAACUCCUACGGGAGGCAGCAGUGAGGAAUAUUGGUCAAUGGACGAGAGUCUGAACCAGCCAAGUAGCGUGAAGGAUGACUGCCCUAUGGGUUGUAAACUUCUUUUAUACGGGAAUAAAGUUAGGCACGUGUGCCUUUUUGUAUGUACCGUAUGAAUAAGGAUCGGCUAACUCCGUGCCAGCAGCCGCGGUAAUACGGAGGAUCCGAGCGUUAUCCGGAUUUAUUGGGUUUAAAGGGAGCGUAGGCGGAUGCUUAAGUCAGUUGUGAAAGUUUGCGGCUCAACCGUAAAAUUGCAGUUGAUACUGGGUGUCUUGAGUACAGUAGAGGCAGGCGGAAUUCGUGGUGUAGCGGNNNNNNNNNNGAGGCAGGCGGAAUUCGUGGUGUAGCGGUGAAAUGCUUAGAUAUCACGAAGAACUCCGAUUGCGAAGGCAGCUUGCUGGACUGUAACUGACGCUGAUGCUCGAAAGUGUGGGUAUCAAACAGGAUUAGAUACCCUGGUAGUCCACACAGUAAACGAUGAAUACUCGCUGUUUGCGAUAUACAGUAAGCGGCCAAGCGAAAGCGUUAAGUAUUCCACCUGGGGAGUACGCCGGCAACGGUGAAACUCAAAGGAAUUGACGGGGGCCCGCACAAGCGGAGGAACAUGUGGUUUAAUUCGAUGAUACGCGAGGAACCUUACCCGGGCUUAAAUUGCAAAUGAAUGUUCUGGAAACAGAUCAGCCGCAAGGCAUUUGUGAAGGUGCUGCAUGGUUGUCGUCAGCUCGUGCCGUGAGGUGUCGGCUUAAGUGCCAUAACGAGCGCAACCCUUAUCGAUAGUUACCAUCAGGUUAUGCUGGGGACUCUGUCGAGACUGCCGUCGUAAGAUGUGAGGAAGGUGGGGAUGACGUCAAAUCAGCACGGCCCUUACGUCCGGGGCUACACACGUGUUACAAUGGGGGGUACAGAAGGCAGCUACACGGCGACGUGAUGCUAAUCCCUAAAACCUCUCUCAGUUCGGAUUGGAGUCUGCAACCCGACUCCAUGAAGCUGGAUUCGCUAGUAAUCGCGCAUCAGCCACGGCGCGGUGAAUACGUUCCCGGGCCUUGUACACACCGCCCGUCAAGCCAUGAAAGCCGGGGGUACCUGAAGUGCGUAACCGCGAGGAGCGCCCUAGGGUAAAACUGGUGAUUGGGGCUAAGUCGUAACAAGGUAGCCGUACCGGAAGGUGCGGCUGGAACACCUCCUUUCU